AAUUACCCAAUCCUGACACAGGGAGGUAGUGACAAGAAAUAACAAUACAGGGCUUAAAGUCUUGUAAUUGGAAUGAUGGGAAUCUAAACCCUUCCCAGAGUAUCAAUUGGAGGGCAAGUCUGGUGCCAGCAGCCGCGGUAAUUCCAGCUCCAAUAGCGUAUAUUAAAGUUGUUGCAGUUAAGAAGCUCGUAGUUGAAUUUCUGCCUUGUCAUUAAUCUCGCUUCCGAGCGUUUUUUUAUUGACUUGGCAUCUUCUGGAUUUGGUGCCUUCGGGUACUAUUUUCCAGGAUUUACUUUGAGAAAACUAGUGUGUUUCAAACAGGCAUUCGCCUUGAAUACUACAGCAUGGAAUAAUGAAGUAGGACUUUGGUUCUAUUUUGUUGGUUAUUGAGCCAGAGUAAUGGUUAAUAGGAGCAGUUGGGGGCAUUCGUAUUUAA
rnacentral:rRNA from 1 species